rnacentral:rRNA from 1 species
GCUUUAGAGUAAUUCAAUUAAGGUACAGCCUAUUUGAAACAGGAUACAACCUUGCCUAAUGGGUAAAUAACAUAUUACAUCUUUAAGUAGGCCUAAAAGCAGCCACCUUUUAAAAAGCGUCAAAGCUUCGCUAUGCUAAUAUUCAAUACCAACCUCACAAAUUAACCCUUUAUUGUCAUUGAGCAAAUCUAUACAUCUAUAGACACGUUUAUGUUAAAACUAGUAACAAGAAUUAGAUUUUCUCUUUAUGUAAGCUUACAUCAGAAUGGACACACCACUGAUAAUUAACACCUAUGAAUCAAAAGUAGUAACCCAACAAGAAAACUCUUCUGUACCCAAUGUUAAUCUAACACAAGCACAUAUCAAGAAAGAUUAAAAGAAAAAGAAGAAACUCGGCAAAUGUUAACCUCGCCUGUUCACCAAAAACAUCGCCUCUCGUAGAAUUUGAGAGGUCCAGACUGCCCAGUGGCCUGUCUCGAACAGAGAAUC